GGGAAACAAUGCAAGGCCUGAAGUGGUGACACAGUCAUUCGUUUUUUCUUGAAAAAAUGCACUCUGACUGCAAUGGGAUGAAGAAAUAGGCAUGGCAUAGUCUCCAUAGUGAGAAGUUCUGAACAGAGGCAACAUGUUUGAAGCUUUACAAAGGGCUUCAAUAAGGGAUUACAAUCUUAAUCUGCUGUUGUGGCUUUGAAGCAUGAUCCUGAAAUUGAAGAUGCAGUUCAACAGUGUGGUGCCAUAAUGCCGAUAAAAAAGAGAGAUACCAAAUUCAGAUUAAUAUGAUCACAUCUUCCAUUUAAUCUGUUCCAUGUAACAUUUAAAUAGCUAUUUAGAAAACAUCAAAUGCAGAAUAGUAUAUGUUACUUGAUUUACAAAUGAGAAUGGUGCCAGGAAUAAAGCAAGGUUUGCUUUGACCUAAUGCCCCUAG
rnacentral:lncRNA from 1 species